rnacentral:lncRNA from 1 species
AACCAUCCUGCCAAAACACUAGAAUAUUGCACAUGUGACCUGUGGCUCUCUCAGCUGUUGGGAGACUGUUUAAUACAGUUAUCUCUUCAACAUUCUAGGGCCAUCUCUGUGAUAAGAAAGAGGAG